rnacentral:rRNA from 1 species
CGAGAUGUCACGGGCGCACGGCGGAUGCCUUGGCACAGGAAGCCGACGAAGGACGCGGCAAGCCGCGAUAGUCCCCGGGGAGGCGCACACGGCCUUGGAUCCGGGGGUUUCCGAAUGGGAGAACCCGCCGGCGGGAGCGCCGGCAUCCCCCCGCCGAACGCAUAGGCGGGGGGAGGACAACCCGGGGAACUGAAACAUCUAAGUACCCGGAGGAGGAGAAAUCAACCGAGAUCCCCCGAGUAGCGGCGAGCGAAAGGGGGCCAUGGCCAAACCAGGGAGCGCCUAACGGCCGGAGGGCCUCGCGCCCCUGGGGUUGUGGGACGGCGACGUCGGGGGGGCCUCCGCCCCCCGGGGCGCCGCGCGAGGGGGAGCCGAACGGCCUGGGAGGGCCGGCGGCACAGGGUGACAGCCCCGUAGGCGCACCCCUCCGCGCGGGCCCGGAGCCGGUCCCGAGUAGGGCCGGGCACGUGAAACCCGGUCCGAAGCGGGGUGGACCACCAUCCAAGCCUGAACACUCUCCUGUGACCGAUAGUGGACAAGUACCGCGAGGGAAAGGUGAAAAGCACCCCGGGAGGGGAGUGAAACAGCACCUGAAACCGUGCGCCCACGAGCAGUCGGAGCAGCCUUGCGCUGUGACGGCGUGCCUUUUGUAGAAUGAGCCAGCGAGUCGCUGGCGCGGGGCGAGGUUAAGCUAGGAAGCGAGCCGUAGCGAAGGCGAGUCCCAACAGGGCGUCCAGUCCCGCGCCGCGGGCGCGAAGCCGGGUGAGCUAUCCCUGGGCAGGCUGAAGCGGGGGUAAGACCCCGUGGAGGGCCGAACGGCAGUCCGUUGAAAAGGGCCCCGAUGACCUGGGGAUAGGGGUGAAAGGCCUAUCAAACCCGGAGAUAUCUCGUUCUCCCCGAAAUAGCUUUAGGGCUAGCCUCGGGCGCUCUCCCUGGGAGGUAGAGCACCGGACCGGUGAGGGGGCUUCGCCGCCUACCGAGCCGGACCGAACUCCGAAUGCCCAGGGACCAGGAGCCCGGGAGUCAGAGCAUGUGGGCUAAGCUGUGUGCUCGAGAGGGAAACAGCCCAGACCGCCCGCCAAGGCCCCCAAGUCCGUGCUGAGUGGCAAAGGAUGUGCGUCCGCCCAGACAGCCAGGAGGUUGGCUUAGAAGCAGCCACCCCUUCAAAGAGUGCGUAACAGCUCACUGGCCGAGUGGACGCGCGCCGACAAUACACGGGGCUAAGCACGGCGCCGAAGCGGCGGGAUCGGAGACGAUCGGUAGGGGAGCUUCCCGCGGGGGGCGAAGCCGGUGGGCGACCUCCGGUGGACCGCGCGGGAGUGAGAAUGCUGGCAUGAGUAGCGAGAGAGGAGCGCGAAACUCCUCCGCCGUGAACCCGAGGUUUCCUGGGCGAGGCUAAUCCCCCCAGGGUCAGUCGGGGGCUAAGGCGAGGCCGGCAGGCGUAGCCGAAGCGCAGCAGGCAGACAUUCCUGCACCGCGCAGGACCGCUAUGACCGACGCGGCGACGGAUGGGGGUGGCUCGGCCGGGUUCUGGACGUCCCGGUGAUGGGGUGCGGCCCGCGGGGGAGGGAAGUCCCCCCCGCAUGUGGGCGAGGCCCCGGACGAAGCGAUUAGGCGAAGCGAGUGAGCCCGUGGUCCCUAGAAAAACCGCUAGGCAGGUCCCUGCGCGCCCGUACCGCAAACCGACACAGGUGGGUGGGUAGAACAUACCGAGGCGAUCGGGUCAACCGUGGUCAAGGAACUCGGCACAAUGGCCCCGUAACCUAGGGAGAAGGGGUGCCGCGGCAUCGUGAACGGGCUCGCCCCGGGAGCGAGAGGCGGCCGCAGUGAAGAGGCCCAAGCGACUGUUUACCAAAAACACAGGACUCUGCAGAAGCCGCAAGGCGACGUAUAGGGUCUGACGCCUGCCCGGUGCCGGAAGGUCACGCGGAGGGGUCAGCCGAAAGGCGAAGCUCCGAAGCCAAGCCCCGGUAAACGGCGGCCGUAACUAUAACGGUCCUAAGGUAGCGAAAUUCCUUGUCGGGUAAGUUCCGACCUGCACGAAAGGCGCAACGACUUGGGCGCUGUCUCGACCACGGACCCGGUGAAAUUGCACUGGUCGUGAAGAUGCGACCUACCCGCGGAAGGACGGAAAGACCCCGUGAACCUUCACUGCAGCUUGGCAUUGGCCGCUGGUCGGGAGUGUAGAGGAUAGGUGGGAGGCCGUGAUGGCGGGGCGCCAGCCCCUCCGGAGCCGCCCUUGGAAUACCACCCUCUCCCGUCCGGCGUCCUAACCCCCGGCCGUGAGCCGGCGGGGGGACCGUGCCAGGCGGGCAGUUUGACUGGGGCGGUCGCCUCCUAAAGGGUAACGGAGGCGCGCGAAGGUCCGCUCGGGGCGGUCGGCAACCGCCCUUUUGAAUGCAAGAGUACAAGCGGGCUUGACUGCGAGAGCCACAACUCGAGCAGGUGCGAAAGCAGGCUCUAGUGAUCCGGCGGCCCCACGUGGGUGGGCCGUCGCUCAACGGAUAAAAGGUACUCCGGGGAUAACAGGCUGAUCUUGCCCAAGAGUCCACAUCGACGGCAAGGUUUGGCACCUCGAUGUCGGCUCAUCGCAUCCUGGGGCUGGAGCAGGUCCCAAGGGUACGGCUGUUCGCCGUUUAAAGCGGUACGCGAGCUGGGUUCAGAACGUCGUGAGACAGUUCGGUCCCUAUCCUCCGUGGGCGCAGGGGAAUCGAGGGAGGCUGCCCCCAGUACGAGAGGACCGGGGUGGACGGACCUCCGGUGCACGGGUUGUCGACCGACGGCAUCGCCCGGUAGCCGCGUCCGGCGCGGAUAACCGCUGAAGGCAUCUAAGCGGGAAGCCGUUCCCGAGAUCAGUUCCCCUUUCGGUAAGGGCCCGGGUAGACCACCCGGUGGACAGGCCGCAGGUGCAAGGACGGCGACGUCCUCAGCCGAGCGGUGCUGAUCGCCCGAGCUCU